GAAUCCGAGGCGCAAUGGGUGCGCGUCUGACUUGGAAUCAGAAGGUUGCAGGUUCGAUUCCUGCCGGGUUCA